rnacentral:rRNA from 1 species
UGGGGAAUAUUGGGCAAUGGGCGCAAGCCUGACCCAGCAACGCCGCGUGAAGGAAGAAGGCUCUCGGGUUGUAAACUUCUUUUAUCAGGGACGAAACAAAUGACGGUACCUGAUGAAUAAGCCACGGCUAACUACGUGCCAGCAGCCGCGGUAAUACGUAGGUGGCAAGCGUUAUCCGGAUUUACUGGGUGUAAAGGGCGUGUAGGCGGGAUGGUAAGUCAGAUGUGAAAACUAUGGGCUCAACCCAUAGCCUGCAUUUGAAACUAUCGUUCUUGAGUGCUGGAGAGGCAAUCGGAAUUCCGUGUGUAGCGGUGAAAUGCGUAGAUAUACGGAGGAACACCAGUGGCGAAGGCGGAUUGCUGGACAGUAACUGACGCUGAGGCGCGAAGGCGUGGGGAGCAAACAGGAUUAGAUACCCC